rnacentral:lncRNA from 1 species
GGGACUUUUGUGGUCCGCUUUCCUUGCUGAUGGAGAGGAAUAGUGUCACUCCCAUUUGACUCGGUAACCCGGCAGCUUCCUGUCUUAAACGCAGAGCUGGCGCGCAGGACACUCCUCCUGCAGACACUUAUUACACAAGUUCAGCUGCACCUCGUGCAAAACAGCCCUGAAAGCUCAGGCUUGAAGACGAAAUGUGGAGCCCAGGCUCCUUCGAUUGAAAACCUCGCUACGAGGACACUCUCCGCAGUCGCCGGCCAGAAAGGAUUUCGGAUCAAGAUCCGCAGAGUGGUGAGCAACUCCCAGGGUCCGAGGCUGAGCUGACUGCAGGCUGGUAGCCCUUCUGCCCGUAGGAGAAUCUCCUUUCUGCAGAAACUACUCCUGGAAAACAAAACCGAGUGAAAAGAAGGGCAAUGCGGGUCUGCGCGGAGGGGAGCUUCCUCCCCGGGGAAAGAGGCGCCUCGCGCUGGCUGACUCGCCGGUGGGGUGCAGCUCCAGCUGUCUCUUGGACGCCUCCACUGGAAGGCCGACGGGCAUCUUCAAUUUCACGUGUUCACUUCAGAGCACCCCUGAGCCGGCUACCCCUGCUCCCCUGAUCUGCGCCUUCCCAGUUUCUCCCAGUCACCCAGCUGGCCACCGCGCAGGAGACAUCCCUGAUCCUUCAUUUUCUCUCUGGAGUCACCCCCUGUCAAUUAGCAAGGCCUGUUGGCUCUGCCUCCACAUCUGUUCCACAGCUCCCCCAAACUCCUCCGUCCUCCACUAGCCCCCAAGCCCUUUCCCCUGCGCCUGCAGGGUUGCAUGGCCUCUUAACCAGCUCUCCACCUCACACGUGUGCCCUGUGGUUCACUGUUCUCCAUACAACAGAGUAAGCUUCAGCUCAGACCUAUCCUUGGUCAAAACCAGUGGUUUCCACGUGCACUGAGAAUUAGACGCAUUCUUACAAUGUCCUUCAAGGCACCAUGAAAUCCACCCACCACUUCCCUUACCUGAGGUUCUAAGUCUAGUUUUGCCAGUUCUUGAGCCUCCAAGCCAUGGCCACCUCAGGGGAGUUCUUUUCCUUUGGUCCUGGCUCUUUAUUCAUCUGGUACAUUCUUUCUGUGCAUCUUUGGGCACAGACUGUCCCCCAGAGAAAGGUCAUACGAUCUAAAAUGACUCCCUAAUCCAGUUGUGUUCUCCACAGCACUUAUGGCUACUUGCGGUUGUAAAUGUGUUGGUGCGUUUUUUAUUGGUCUCUUAUCUAGAACGUACCUUCCAGAGGGCAGGGCCUUGUCAUCUUCCUGGCUGUACCCCCAGUCCUGCUAAGGGACUGGCAUACAGUAACAUGAAGCCAGUGCUCUCAGACUUUCUGGUCACAGGACUGCUUUAUGCUCUUAGAAAUUACUGAGCCCCCGAAAGAGCUUAUGUAUAUAGCAACAGAUAGAUUUAGACGUCUAACCAGUGAUUUGCACAGUAUUAGAGAUUGAAAUGGUAAUGUUUUAAAUAUAUUGAUUAAUUGAUUCAUUUACAAUGAUAAUAAAAACCCACUUCAUGUUUACU